AUUUUCUCAGCAUCUGAAAUGAAGUAGGACCACCCGCUGAACUUAAGCAUAUCAUUAAGCGGAGGAAAAGAAACUAACUAGGAUUCCCUCAGUACGGGCGACGGAAGCGGGAACAGCCCACAUUGGUAAUCUCCGGGCGGUAGCUCGGCGAAUUGUAAUCUGAAGACAGCUAGUCUAAUUGGAUCAGACGUCGAAGUGUGCACGAGCGCGCCGCCAAAGAGGGUGAGAGCCCCGUUAGACGUAGGGUCCUACCAAGGCUGGAGGUCGAAGAGUCGUGUACUUUGAUACUAGUGCACUAAGCGGGAGAUAAACUUCUUCUAAGGCUAAAUAUAAGUAGGAAACCGAUAGCGAACAAGUACUGUGAAGGAAAGAUGAAAAGCACUUUGGAAAGAAAGUUAAAAGACUUGAAAUCGUUGAGGCGGACCCGGUAGAAAUGUAUUCUAGCGAAGCGCUCUGGGAAGCCUGUAUUCGGGCCACUUGAGCGCCAGCCGAGACAAGAUGGAGUCGCACGACGCCAGAGGCCGUGCGCGAGGAAGCUUGCUUCAGCGCGCGCUGGUCGGGUGUCGAGCGGCUUGAGGGGCCUUGAGCGAUCUUGUCAAAAUGGUUUUUACCGACUCGUCUUGAAACACGAACCAAGGAGUCUAAGACUAACGCGAGUAUGGUGGUGGAGAAACCAACAUGCGAAAUGAAAGUAAAUGAUGCCAAGCCAACUGCAGCAUCGACCGACUUUUUUCUCUUGGAAGAGGUUUGAGUAAGAGCGUUAUUCUUAGGACCCGAAAGAUGGUGAACUAUGCCUGUGUAGGGUGAAGUCARGGGAAACUCUGAUGGAAGCUCGUAGCGAUACUGACGUGCAAAUCGUUCGUCGAACAUGGGUAUAGGGGCGAAAGACUAAUCGAACCAUCUAGUAGCUGGUUCCCUCCGAAGUUUCCCUCAGGAUAGCUGGGACAAGUACGCAGUUUUAUUAGGUAAAGCGAAUGAUUAGAGGCAUCGGGGAUGAAAUGUCCUUGACCUAUUCUCAAACUUUAAAUUGGUAAGAACUCCCGUCUUCGCUUAAUUGAAGCAGGAGGUUCAAUGCGUGUCCUUAGUGGGCCAUUUUUGGUAAGCAGAACUGGCGAUGAGGGAUGCUCCUAACGUUGGGUUAAGGUGCCAAACUACACGCUCAUCAGAAACUACAAAGGGUGUUAGUUCAUGAAGACAGCAGGACGGUGG
rnacentral:rRNA from 1 species